rnacentral:lncRNA from 1 species
NNNNNUCAACCUGUAUUUAUUCUUGUCUUUUUCAUCUCUUUCCCCUUUGUAAGAUGUGCCUCAAUCCACCGCAGGGGUCCUCAUGAAAGCGAUCUCCAAACCUCCAGUCCGCUCAGGGGUCUCUGUAAUUGUGCUCCCGUUCAAGUAAAUUCUGUAUGUUUUCGUCCUAGAAAUAGUCACAAUUAUAACAAAAUAAUCCAUCAUCUAACUAGUUGUUUGAUAUCGGUUUUAGUUCUUACAAUGAACGUUGCAUGCGGGCAAGGGUGUUCUGGUUCGACACUGACCCCCAGCUCCCAGGCCAGUGGCUUGAGCACAGCAGCCAUUCCAUAAAUGGUGGGGGAGCAAACAGGAUCCAAUUACUUUAUUAAUUUUCCUGACUGUUCUUUGGCGAUUACUCUAAUUCUAAAACUGCAGUCCUUGGGUUUCAACAGCAGUAAGGAUUGCUGCUUUGCUGACAAGUGCACUCUCUCCUUGUAGGCAAAUGGACCUGAGACUAAGCCUUCAGAAUCCAAAUUACCAUGGAAACAGCCUUGAGGCCUACCAGUUCGCUGUGCUUCUCACACUGGAGGGAGCUGGAGGCCCAGACAAGUCCGGGGUCCUGCAUUUCCUCCCAGCCGCCCUUCCUUCAGGAAGUCCCUGGCUUGGGAACAUUACUUACCUUACCAACACGUUGCACAUGCCUUUCCAAAGUUGAAGGAUAGCCUCUCACCGGAG